UAGUAACAGGAAUUUAGGUAGUUGUGAUUUAUCUGUGCCUCUUUUUGUAUGACUGGGUGACUGCAAUGAACUUGUUCUAACAGGGAUAAUGCUCCCAAAAGCUAUUGGAGCUGGAAUUCUCUGUCUUCUGGCUGGCACCCUAGCAUCUCAAGAUGCUGUUCCUGUGUGUGGAAUGACAGGACAAUCCAUCACUCUUCAAGCAGAAGUACCAAAUGUACACGAGGAGGUCAUUCAGUGGGCACACAAUAACACAAUCAUUGCACAUUGGGAUGAAGAAGAGCAACAAACAAAAUGCCUUUUUCUAAACACGGAGUUUGACAAGCAAACGUUGUCUCUAACCAUCUCAGAUCUCAAAUCAAAUUGGAGUGGCUUUUAUGCAUUUAAAAUAAAUAAUGACGUAUGUAUCAGCUCACUGUAA